rnacentral:rRNA from 1 species
AUUGAACGCUGGCGGCAUGCCUUACACAUGCAAGUCGAACGGCAGCACGGGAGCAAUCCUGGUGGCGAGUGGCGAACGGGUGAGUAAAGUAUCGGAACGUGCCCAGUCGUGGGGGAUAACGUAGCGAAAGUUACGCUAAUACCGCAUACGAUCUAUGGAUGAAAGCGGGGGAUCGCAAGACCUCGCGCGAUUGGAGCGGCCGAUAUCAGAUUAGGUAGUUGGUGGGGUAAAGGCUCACCAAGCCAACGAUCUGUAGCUGGUCUGAGAGGACGACCAGCCACACUGGGACUGAGACACGGCCCAGACUCCUACGGGAGGCAGCAGUGGGGAAUUUUGGACAAUGGGCGAAAGCCUGAUCCAGCCAUGCUGCGUGCAGGAUGAAGGCCUUCGGGUUGUAAACUGCUUUUGUACAGAACGAAAAGGCUCUGGUUAAUACCCGGGGCUCAUGACGGUACUGUAAGAAUAAGCACCGGCUAACUACGUGCCAGCCGCCGCCGUAA